rnacentral:lncRNA from 1 species
UGUUCAGUUAGAGAUGUUUUUGCUUUGGUAUUCAAUUUUAUUUUAUGGAUAGUUUGGUUUAUUUUGUGGAUGCAUGUAAUCAAAUUCACAAUUCAAUAUAGUAGUAAUUUAUAUUGAAAAGUGAAUUUGAGAUGCAUAUAUGGAUAGUUUGGUUUAUAUUUUGUGGAUGUGGUAAUUUGAAACUGUAAACGAAUGGUAUU